AAGACCUAUACUGAGAACAUCUUAAGAAUUUACUGAUGGUUUCAAGCAGAGGCCCAAAGUACCAUCUUCCUGUGAUCUAUUGGUUGUUCUGGAACCUCAGCAAAGAAUGGCUAUUUCAUUUGGAAGAAACAACC
ensembl:snoRNA